AUAUUAUUGAAGUUAACACUCUGAAGGCUACUCUGCUACUUAAAGGAGUAGUGUAAUAGGCCUUUGGACUUUGUCUACAAGGUAAGUUUAUUUGGGUUUUCUUUUUUGGUGUUUUUUUUUUUUUUUUUUCAGAAUGGGAAAUUAGAUAAUAGUCCUGGUGAGAAUCAGUGUCUGUGGAAGAAUAGAUGCAUUGCACUGAAAAGUGUGUGUGAGAUUAUUCUGCCAACACAACUGAAUGGAUCCAUGCUUAGCUCAAGUCCUCUGCGGUGAUUCUGUGGAGUUUCAAGAUCAGGAAAGGCUCCCUCCUACACACCUAGGUACAUACGCUGAGAGGCUUCUUUAGAUUCUUCUACCUGAAAGGACUUGGAGAUGGCUAGAGAGUGAUUUGGUUCUCGGGAUCACAGAUAAGUGUAUAAAGACUGAUUAAAUGCAAUGCACUGUGCUUUGUUUUGUCUAUUUUAUUGAACUUUUUUCAUUGUUGGUGCAUGUAUUUUGAAUAAGCAGUAGGAAAAAAGGAACUAUGCUAGAGAUAAAUGUCUCAAUCUAAAGUUUUCUGAAGUUUUUUUUUCCUAUUUAAAAAAAAAGAUUGUUCUUUCUGAAAUCGGAUAUAAGACAAGGAGACUGUAAAAGGUUUUCUAAGGCAGCACAUUCUCUGCUGAAUCCUACAGUAGAAGGAAAGUUAGAACACUGUCUUUCACUUUUUGCACAAUACCUUUAAUCUGUCGGAAAUGGAGUAAGGUUGACAGUAGCUUAGUGACCUAGGUGUUAAAGUCGUAUUCAUAUCCUUGGAGAUUUGGGCUUUAAAAACAUUUCAGCUCUUUGAAAAUGUUAACUUAAAGGUCAAAAUGGACUAGGUUUCAGUCAGUUCUGUACAACUCUUCUUUUUCCCAAUGGUUACUUCAGGUACACAACUGCUGUUGCUGAUAGUGAAUGGAAAAGUGCAUUUGAUUUUUUCCACAGGGGAUUUUAAUGAAAACACUGUGUAGACUUGGUUUGGAAAGGGCAAGGUAAACUUCUGUUGGAAUACCCACAACUGGUUUAUGCCAUUUAACUGAUGAUUGUUAGGAUGAAUAAAGCGGGACCAGGCAUGUGAAUUGCAUUUCAUGCUCCUGCAUGUGAAAUUUUGCAGCAGUAACUGUGAUGCAGGCAGAGCUUAAAAUGUCAUCAUACUAGUUCAUCUCUAACAGCCUGUGUGCUUGUGUUUAACUCAAGUGAUAUGACAGGGCAUUACAAAGAGGACGCAAACAGAAAGACAGCAGUGUGCAAAUUCCUGGCGCUGGAGUGACAAAGAUAAUCUCAGACUGCAAAUCCUUACUUGGGUUAAGUCUGUCUCGGAGGUUGCAGCUGAUAUCUCCAUUCAGGCUCCAGAAUGUAUUUAAAGAUGAAUGUUUAGGCCUUGGUGAGGUUAAGCCCAUACAAGCAAACAAAUGGGUUUCACCUUCAGAAAAAUGUAAGCUUAUCUGUAAGAAAAGCAAUUUUCUCCUUGUGCUCUGCUAAAUGCAACCCAUCAGGAUGGUCAGUUGCUCCUGUGGGGCAUCUCCAUCGCCCUACCGGACUGAGUGCAGAGGGAAGCCUGGCACCUUGGGUCACCCUGCUCCCUUUGCUGUUGCUUCUGUUUCUUACUUCUCUGCACUUAGAUAGCAUCCUGACAUUUGUAAAAAGAAGCAUUUUUUUCUUUCUAUACUAACUUUUAGAGAAGUUAAAAAGAAACAGCAUAGUAGUUGGUGACCCUGCACAUAGCACGGGGGUUGAAACUAGAUGAUCAUUGUGGCCCUUUGCAACACAGGCCAGUCUAUGAUUCUAGGAAGAACUGCAGGAGAGGCAAAAACAAUUCUGGAAAGGGGAGCGGGCAGAUUGGCUUUGUAUUGGGGGAAGAGAAUGAGUGCUUAAGGCAUCUAAAUUAGCAUCCAAAAUAAUUUUCAUCAGAAGCACUGGUAAAGAUUACUCUCUUGAUUUUAGGAAAGCUGAAAAGCAUAUCAAUUGGUUCUCUCUGCUCUUCCUCUCCCAUUAGUGGCUGUACUGGGCAAGGUGUUUGAGUAGCUGUGUGUCUGGCUUUAUAAGCACAUGGUGGUUUUAGGAGUUCCCACAGUGAGGAUGGCUCACUUUAAGCUUCUCCCCGCAAAAGGUAGCAGUUAAUGAAAAUUAAGUGGUCCUUCAAAAAACAACUCUUACUGAACAUGUAGUAAUCUCAUGAUUUCAGGCUUCUUUUGAUAUUCAGGUCUCUGUGGGUAAGAAGUAAACACGAGGAUUUCAGAAGAAUGAAUCUUUGCUCUUCUUUCCUUGGUGUACUCCCUUUUCAGAAUCAUUGUUUCAGAGAACUCUAAAUGUGAACAUGUGAAAAAUGCUGUCUGAGGCGCAAUCUCUUUGGUAGUGGCAUGAUCUAUUGGAAAAAGUUAGCAAAUGUUAAAAUAUUCGAGUACCACUGUUAAAGCUUCCUUACGUUUUAUAUAGUUGUUUGUUCAGUGAAUGCAAUACAGUGAGAUAUGAUUCUAUCCCCUUGUUUUCUUCAGCUCAUUCUGUAAUGACAGGUCUGCAAUGAUAUUUCUGAACUUUUGCUCUUUUACUCAGAUCAGGACGUGCAUACCCGAUGUCUCUGGGGUUUCAGGUGGGAGUAAUUUUCUACUCAAAAGAGAGUAGCAUUUAAAUAUUACUCAGCUAAAUAGCUGAUUUUCCCAAUCUCUUCCUAAAUAUGAUUAGUCUUGCACUCAAAUGCAAAGCAUGUCUACUAUGAAUGCCAAUCAGUCAAGUAAGUAUGCUGGAGAAGGAGGGAAAACAGUGAAAGUUGUCAUUUAUUGUUAUGAAUGCAUGCAAACUGGAGUAAAAAUGAAAUUUGUCAUCAGUUCAUUAGCUUAAUUUUUACUGGAUCUGAGCUAUUGCAGCCACUAUUAUAAUGGAGGUGUCGUAACUGUUAUCACAUUUGUAUAUGGAGUCUGUUCUAAUCCCUCUUAGUUUAAUUUCUAUAUUUCCAGAUGAAUCAAUCUGUUUUACCUCUUGUACAGACCUGUCAAUGCCUUUCAACUCACAGCUAUGUCCCUGCACCUGUAUUAUAACACAUUUAUCUCACAAACCUAAUCCAUUAGAGGAUGUCAAUACAUAUGUUAGACUUAAAGACUUCCUAACUGCUGUUACGUUGUAGUAGUCUCUGUUGUUCUGAAUUUGCACAUUGGAAACAUUUUCUCCUGUCUGUGUGAGGAGAUGCUUUGCUCUGUUUUUUUUCCCUAUAGGCCUAUUGUACCUUGCAUGCUAUAUUUCCACUAUCGAGUUUGGCAGGUGUAGCUUGCAGGCUUAUAAAUGAUUUGUUAAGAAAUUACCUGGAGACUAUUGUGUCUGAUGCAAAUAUAAACACGUCAGCUGCAGUUUUCCUCUUACAAAGGAGAUGGCAAAAAGGCAGCCCUUGAAAAACUGAGAAAAAUGCAUAGCUCCUUUAUAUGUUAAGCAAGACAACUUUCCUGGGAUUGCAGCCACUGGCACUGUGACACAUAGCAGAAUUCUGAAGCAAAUCUUUAUCAGAGAUAAAUACUGUCUGGGAACAGGUGCUCCACUGGAGCAAAUUCUCAUAGCUUCAACAGAGCAGUGGUGGCUGAUCCCAGCAAGGAAUCUGGUCCACUUUUGAGAAGGAAAGGUUUUCCCAAACUGUUUGAUCUCAACACUUGGGCUUUCAUGUUGCCUUGCCCUGGUGAUUAGUUUAGGACUGUAAUCCCUAGACCACCCGGUUGUACAAACCUGAGCAAGUGUAAGCAGUGUGCUGUUAGCAGUGAACUCUGAUGGCCAGUUUCAUCGGAGGAAAGGGAAUGUGGUCCCUUGGAUUGCCUCGCAAAUGGAAACCUUCAGGAGGCAUGAACAUACUUCUAUCUACUAGGAAUGCUACUAGGAAUAGGCCACCUAUUCAAAAGGUGACUGGAGUACACAAAAAGUAAAAACUUGGAAAACAAGACUCAAGGAAGGGAAGAGAAAUGUAAGACAACACUUAGCACUGCUGACUUGUUAAACAUAGUUCUCUCUAAUUUAUGCUGAAGCAAGCCCAGGUCUAUCCUACCUGAAUUUUCUGUCUUUGUUUACAAAGUAACUUGUAUACUUUCUUCUUGACAUAAACUAUGGUAUGUCCGUAGUUAUGCAGCACUUGCAAACAAAAGUGAAACUUUUCCAUCUAGUUCUUUUUGAAUUUGUGGGGUUGUCAAUAUGACUUACGAUAUGAUGCAACUUUUUGUGUCUUGAACGGCAGUAAGUGGCAUCUAUCUAUCUAUCUGGUGUGGAUAUUCAUAGGAAGAGUGAAUUAGAAUGUAGUGACACAAAAGUAAUUUUCACCUCAAUCUCAGUAAAUAAAGCAAAUCUGUCUUCUGUAGGUCAUACUUCUCCUGCUUUGUCUGCCUCAGAGAAUAAAAAUUGAAUUGUUCAAGUGAAAUUAGAACAUCAUGGCCUUGACCUGAACAGGAAUGAAAAAAGUAUGUUUGUACAGGAGAUGUCCAUGUAAUCAGUGGGGCUCCUAGCAGUCUUAAUUUGUGAGCACUAUUAAUUCAGUAGCAAUAACCUCCUGUAUUAGUACAGUUGAGUGUCAAUAUUAACACAGUAUUGCAUGCAUUAAAAAUGCUCACUUUUCCUCUUUUUUUCCUCUCUUUUUUUUUUUCUCCCCUAAUACAUGCAUGAUCAAUUUCAGGUAUAACAUUCUAAAAUUUUUAUGCUAUUCAGCCAACCUGGAUCUCAUUACAUUAGACAAAUAUUGCACAGGAAGAAAGUGGAUCACGUAAAUGCCACUAAUAUUAUUCAUGAAUUUUCCUAUUACAGUGGGUUGGAAAUCUGCAACAAAUAUUCUCUUACAAAUGACUUUAUUUAAGAUCUGGUAUUGUAUUUCUGUAUGUUGUCAUUGCUAUUUAAUAGGGUUUGAUUCAUUUCUCUGGAUAAAACUCAAUUCUCUACCAUUAACAUUUGUUCUCUCGCACUGAUGAUUAUGUGAAUCUUUCUUACAUCCUUUCUUCCUACCUUCCAGGUUGUCUCAGGACAGACUGGAACUUCAACUUGCUUUAACUUUUCAUAGGAUAAGCAGUCCCAUCCUUCCUCCCCACCUUCUCUCCUUUCCUUUAUUUUCUCUGCUUCUUAAUGCGUUCUUUGAAUCAGACAAAAAUUAGGAUUGCUGAAGAGGGUUUCACCUACUGUAGGAAAUAGCUUAAUGACAUGUUUUCUUCUGAUGUUGAACCUGUUUGCAUACUAGUAAUUGCUGUUGGAUAUUAUGUUGCAAAGCAGCCCAAAAUAUGGGAGUAUAAAUAUAUACUUAUGUUAUUUAGAACAUAUCUGUAAUAUAUGCAAAACAUACAGGUAAACCAUAAGUAAAAAUAUAUAACGUUGCAUAUGGCAUGCAGUGGUUUAGCACAGCUGCAGGUUAGUCUUCUGGAAGAGUUUUAUUAAUGGAAAAGCUUCAACUUUAAAUUGGACUAUGCUGUAAUUAAAAAUAAUGUCUGUGACAUUAAUUUCUAUAGGAUACUUUAACGUAAUUUGAAAAAAAAAAUGAUUCUAACAAAUUCCAUGGGUUUUCAUGACAACUUUUUUUAAUAUAAAUCCAUGACGUAUUAAUGGGAUUUUAUUGUUUCAAUUAUUCUUUUUUAGGUUGUAUAAAAAUUUCCCAUAACGUAGUUCUGUAUGUGUUGUAUUUAUGAUUUGCUAAAGUCUGAGAGCAACUUGUGGUACAAAAUGCAAAAGCAAUUUGCUUUUGACAAGACUAGGUCUAUGUUUAUUGAACAUUAUUUAUUACAUAUAUAGAUCAAUUCAUACACAUUAAUUCAGGAAAGCUUUCCUAUUGCUUAUGGCACAUGUAUGUUGAAUACCUUCCUGGUCCGCUGCUAAAACAUCAAGACUAUAAUAACUGUGCGCAGACUACUAAUGAGUAAUAGCAUCUAACAUCUAAUCUAAAUCUUAAGCUCUCUUUAAGCUCAAAACUGUUCUCUUGUAGCUCAAAACCAUUCCCCUUCUCCUAUCACCAGCUGAGCACAUAAAAAGUCAGUCUCCUUCCUGCUUUUAAGUUCCCUUUAAGUACUGAAAGGUCGCAACUGAGAUCUCCCCGCAGCCUUCUCUUCUCCAGGCUGAACAAGCCCAGCUCCCUCAGCCUGUCUUCGUAGGGUAGGUGCUUCAGCCCACUGAUCAUCUUUGUGAUCUUCUUUGGAUCCACUUUAACAGUUCUAUGCCUUUCUUGUGCUGGGGGCCCCAAACCUGGAUGCAGUACUCCAGAUGGGGCUGCAUAAGGGCAGAGCAGAAAGGAACAAUCCCCUCCUUCUCUGCUGGCAACCCCUCUUCUUGUGCAGCUCAGGAUAUAAUUGGCCUUCUGGGCUGCAAGCAGGCACAAGUAAUAUAAGCAGUGCAUGAAUUAGCUUUUACCCUCAGAUGAAUAUUCAGCACUACAGUAUUUUUGGUGGUGCAGGUUAUUUUCUUUAAUUAGUAGAGCUACUUGUUGUAUAAUGGCAGUAUAUUCAUUGGUACAAAAUAACACAAAAUAGAGAAAUCUAAAAGGUCCAGAGGAGAUCAAAGCUGAGCUGCAUUUGUUGGUGUUUAUUUCUUUUGGCUACGCUGAGAUGCAGAAACUGGAUUUUUUCUAGUUGUGUGGUUAAGGCAUGACAGUCUUCAUUUUAAUAUAAAAUUGCUCUUAGUGUGGAGUUUCUGUAUUCUGUUUUCUAUAUGCUUAUGUUUGUGACUUGUGUUUACUAAAGUUAAUAACUCCUGUGCGUUUUAGACAUGAAUAAAAAAUACCACCAUUAUUAUUACAUCCAGUCAUCGUUACUAGAAACCUACAGUUCUUUUUUCACUGCAGAUUGCUGUGCAAACUAUUUUGAGUUAUACCCUUAUUUACCUUAAUCCAAGAAUUUUAUAGCAAAGGGAUCACUAAUAAUUCUAAGUUUUUUGUUUUUUUUUUUAAAGAAAAAGAGACAAGCAUAUGGAAAUAUGUUCAGCCCCAGUCCCAGAUCAGAUCAAAUCAGGUUUAAUGCAAGUUCUCUGACCUGUGAGCAUGUAAUAUACUAGGGACCUGGAGGAGAGCUGAAGGUGACAGUGUGGGUGCAAACCCAGACAUUCAGAUAUGGCUCGUCUGCUUUGUUUCCUGAGCUAAAUUUCACUCCCUUGCUGCACUGGCCAACAAUAAAAUAGUUACAGACUUUUGUCUCCUAUCUUGACUCAGGAUCAUCAGACAAGUGAUUCAAGCAGGGUGAGGGAGAUGCCUGUUAUAGCCUUGAUCAUGGCAUCAAAGACUGCACAGGACAAAGCUACAGCCCAUGAAGCGCUGCCAGUUUGGGUCCUUAGGAUAGUCUAAACAGUGGCAGUGUUCAGAGAAGUCAUUCCAGUUUCCCUUUAGAAAAGGAAAACUCCCAUGAUAAACUGUAGUGGCUGCAAACCGUUGUAGCUAGUAAAAUUGCAUACGCUGGUGCAUAUGUAAGCUGGUUUUGUAGUCCAACCACUUCUUUUACAUAGCUAUUGGCUCAGACAUCCUUUCUUACCCUCACUUUCAUGUGCUUCUGCAGGAUCUAACAUCAGGUACUGGUCUAUGUGUACUCCUAAAUAUAUGUAGGUUGCUCCAAAAGUAAUGCUUCCUAUUUAUUUCCAUGGAAUCUACAACAAAUACAAAGCACAAUAACACUUUGUUAGAGCAAAUUCUCAGCUAUAAAACAAUUUUUUAACUUAGUUGCCAUCAUUAGCUGACUCAUGCAGAAGAGCUGAUUGAGAUCAUCUUCUUUUCAAGGUGUGACAGCUGUACAUGGCUGUCUGGAACAUGACUUGUCUUUCAUGUUGCUGUCACUGCUGCUGAAACACACCACCCACUUGCCUCGCUGUGCUCACAUCCACUGUUUUGUCUCCAGAAAUGCUCAGCAAGUGUAGGCAAAUGUCAGUGGGUACAAUUUUUUCUGAAUGGAAGCAUUCAAUGACAUACCUUUGCUUCAUCUGCACUUUCAUGUCAGAUGACAUCCUGUCAGACUGAUCCUCUGCUGCCAUCUGUCGCACAGCAACAUACUGCCAUACCACCGACAUCUGCCUCUGACACUGUGAACCAACAUAAUAAAAUAGAGGCAUUACUUUUGGAGCAGCCAUCAUAUAUUUUGAAAUACUACACACAAAUGAAAUGCGCAUAGUAGACUGAUGUUAAUGUGGAGCUAGCUGAGCAGUGUUGUAAUAAGCUUUAUCUUCACUCACUUCUGCACACAAAUAAGUACACUGCUUAGAUAAAUUCGUGUAAAAAAACUUUCUUGUAUCUAUAGUUAAGAAUGUAACAUAUCAUAUCCCCAAAAUUGAAGCCAUGUGAAUCAGAUUUCAGUUAGACAAAGUCAUUUUUCAUACUAUGACAACCACCAGCCUAAUGUAAGAUUUCCCUUUCCUCUUAAAGGCAGGACUAAUAUUUUACUUAAGGAAAGGAGGGCCCUCCAGGAUUUUAUACUCUGUCAGUAUACAAAAUAGGUUUUGGAUCACAAAGCAAAGUGUGAUUUCAUAAAGUUAUUGUUUUGAUGCGGCUCAAAAUCAUGUUUUCUCCUAGGUAUCUCUGAGAGUUGAGCACAGGCAGGAAUUCAGCAGGUUUAGCACUAAGCCUUCUAUACGUAUAAGCUGUUGAUUGAUGCUCUACCUUCUAAUUACGUGGGUGAGCGGGAAAGAACCAAGAGUUUUUGUUAUAUGCAAAGGCCAGAAGGUAAUAUGAUCUGACUUCCUGUGCAACACAGGCCGUUUGCCAACACUUGAAGUAGCAACACUUUCAUGAAUAUUGGAUUUGUAGUUUCCAUUUAAAAUGUUUUGUUUAUGUCAAGCAAGUGGAAAAGAUGAUAUAGAAAGGCGAUUUAUUUUGCAAGGACAAAACAACAACAAAAAAACUAGGAUAAUUUCAAGUCCAGGCAUUAGGGUUGAGAAGUGGGAGUAGAUUACAUAUCUAUUGUGAGAGUUAGGAAAAUGUUUUGAGCAGCAGGAUAAUCAAGGAAGGAGGAAGAGGAGGAGGACUUCAUAGAACUAUAGAAUAGUUAGGGUUGGAAGGGACCUUUAAGAUCACCCAGUUCCAACCCUCCUGCUAUAGGCAGGGAUACCACCUCCUAGACUAGGUUGCUCAAAGCCCCAUCCAGCCUGGCCUUGAAUGCUUCCAGGGAGGGGGCAUCCACAACUUCACUUGGUAACCUAUUCCAGUGUCUCACCACCCUCACAGUAAAGUAUUUCCUCCUAAUAUCUACUCUAAAUCUACCCUCCUCCAGUUUAAACCUAUUUCCCUUUGUCCUGUCAUUACAUGGCCUUACCAAAUGUCCCUCCCCAGCUUUCCUGUAGGCUCCUUUCAGGUACUGGAAUGCUGCUAUAAGGUCUCCUCAGAGCCUUCUGUUCUCCAGGCUGAAGACCCCCAGCUCUCUCAGUCUGUUCUCACAGGGUAGGUGCUCCAGCCCUCUGAUCAUCUUAGUGGCCCUUCUCUGGUCCCGCUCUUAAGCUCCACAUCCUUCCUGUACUGGGAGCCCCACGCCUGGACGCACUACUCCAGAUGGGGCUUCACAAGAGCUGAGCAGAGGGGAACAAUCACCCCCCUCUCCCUGCUGGCCACCCCUUUUUUAACGUAGCCCAGAAAACAGUUGGCCUUCCAGGCUGCAGGCGCACGCUACUGGCUCAUGUCCAGCUUCUCGUCCACCAGGACCCCCAAGUCCUUCUCUGCAGGGCUGUUCUCAAGAUCUUCCCCUAGUUUAUAUAAGUGUCUGGGAUUGCCCUGACACAAGUGCAGCACCCUGCACUUGGCCUUACUGAACCUCAUUAGGUUUUCAUGGGCCAGCUUCUCCAGCCUGUCCAGGUCCCUUUGGGUGACUUCCCUUCCUUCCAACAUAUUGACUGCACUGCUGAGCUUGGUGUCAUCCACAAACUUACUGAGGGUGCACUCGAUGCCAUCGUCUGUGUCAUUGAUGAAGAUGUUGAAGAGCACCGCUCCUAAGACUGACCCCUGAGGGACACUGCUUGUGACCGGCCUCCACCCUGACACAGAUCCAUUGAUCAUAACCCUUUGGCUGCAUCCAGCCAGGCAAUUCCUAAUCCACUGAAGAGUCCAUCCUUCAAAUCCACACCUCUCCAAUUUAGAGAGAAGGAUGUGAUGAGGGACCACAUCAAAGGCCUUGCAGAAGUUCAGGGAGAUGACAUCCAUUGCCCUUCCCUGUCCACCAAAGCCAACACUCCAUCAUAGAAGGCCACCAGAUUGGUCAGGCAAGAUCUGCCCUUGGUGAGGCCAUGCUGGCUGUCUCGAAUCACCUCUUUGUCUUGCUUAGCUUUUAGGAGGACCUGUUCCGUGAUCUUCGCAGGUACAGAGGUGAUUCCUAGGAACUUUUUAUUUUUCUUCAUCUUAUCUUAUUUCCCCUACCCACCCCUACCCUGUUUUCAUUCAAGUAACCUGUUCUAAAUGUCACAGAUAAGACCAUAAGCAAAAACUCUUCUGUGAACAGGACACUGUUUUAGGAGAGACUCAUGCAAAUGAGUACUUUGCAUUCACUUAAAGUAGUACCAUAUCUUAGGUUUUUAUGGCAUAGCGGAGGACUCCUACAGAUUUUGAGUUUUUGCAAGACGAUCUCAUGCUAUUUUAUGAUGCAGCGCAGCACUCGUGUCAGGGAACAGAAAACUUGAAAGGUUUUGGGAAACUAGAGCUCUCUGCUAGUAGACAGGCUUUGAACCUUUGGCCUCAUAAAUAAGAGUGGGUGGAUGGAUUCUAAUCCACUGUGGAGCUGCAGCAAAACACAGCAGUGUUUAUCACUAGUAACAUGCUUUCAUGUGAAGGGUGAAACUGUUGUGCAUGGUGGAAGUGGGAAGUCUAGCUCAGAAGACAUAGGAAAUGUGAAGAACCUCUAUAUCAUAGAAGCAGGCUUCAUGGCUAUGUAUUACCAAAUGGUACAUUUAACAGAAGUAGAUGUGUGCGGUAAGGGCUGAGGACUCAGCAGUUUAUUUGAGUAUUGGUUCCUCGGAGGACUUUCAGAUCUCUGAAGUUCAUAUUUUCAAGCUUUACAAUGUACGUGGUCUAAUAGAAAUUCCCCUGGCAUCUUCUGUAGGUCUCUGAUACUUCAGGUUUGAUGAUGAAAGAAGUCAGCUAAGUGGUUGGUCUCUAAAUAUAGGAAGUCUUUUAAGUAAGUUCAGAGAAAGAAUUAACCUUUUCCCCUUCUCACACACCUCCUGGCAAUUUGAACAAUUGAUUUUAGAUAGGUAAUGAAGUUUAAUAACAGUAUGAUGAAUACACUUCAGUUCUGCAGCUUAUUUCACAUGCUCUUGAAAACUGAUGGUUAGUAAGGGACAGACCAUUUUUCUGGUAAUUUGUGUAGACAUAGAACUUGGUUUACUUCUCUACUGUUUAACAUCUUUUUCUUGUCUUUACCCUCUAGUUCUACAUCAAGGUAAUCCAACAGUUUAUAGUGGAUCAUUCCUGACCCUUCCUGAUUUGACUAUAUUUCAUAAUGAGAACCAUGUAAGCCAAACACAUAAUGCGUGAUCCAGAAAUGGCUGACUUGGGGAAAUAACUACACUGAUGAUGAACAUCUGUUUUUGAUAUAAAAAUAUUGGGGCAUUUUUGGAAGGAAAAGCUUAUCUUUUGGCUUUUGAUACUCUGCACAAUUUCCGUUCCAUUCAUCAGACCAAUAAAUCUCUGCUAAUUUGCUCCGAAAUAAUGAAGCCGUAAUAAUGAGAAGCUUGACUACAGCAUAUGCUCUAUCAUUGAAAGGCAAGAAGAGUCCACAAAUGCUGUUUUUUUUUCAAAUAAUGAGGAGCCCUAUUCAGGCAGUCCCUGUAAGAAUGCUUAAGUUCCCAGCACCAGUGGAUAACACAGACCUGUCUCCUUUUCCUGGAAAGCAAGAGAUCAGACUGGGAUGCAGACAUAAAACUCCUCUACACCAGUGCUCUCCAGAAAGCAAUUUGGUUUUCUUUUAUUGCUCUACACAUUCCACAAGAACGUUGAGUUUGAACAGGCUUUUUGCUGUGUCUGCGCGUUGAUUUUGUAUUUAUUUUAAUAGUGUGCCUGGUGAUUUUUGCCUGAAUCUAACUAAUGCAUUUGUAAGGUGCUAGCUAGUGUAAUAAAUAAAUAGAUGGCAACCAGCAGAGUGUUGCUGUAAGAGAAGAGAUGAGGCUUGCUGUUUCUGCAAGCAGCUCUCAUUUGUUACUUCAGAGCAAAAAUUGAGCAUAGGAAUUAACAUAAAAGAUCAGUUCAGCCUUUGUGAUACCCUUGUAUUCUGCCUCCUUAAGCUCCUGUGACCCUGGGCACUUCAUACACAAUCCAAAGUGUCUGUGUUGGUGAUCAUGUGAUGUGAGUUUGGGUGUUUUUUGUUGUUUUACUUUGGUUUUGGUUUGUUCUCUUAACCUCAGCGACCAGGUUGACCAAUUACCUGGAAGGAAAAAGAUGUUUUGUGGCCCAUCAAUCUUCUGGAGAUUGUAGUAUUUUUUCCAGCAUACUUUUGGACGUUCUUGAGAACCACAAAAGGGAGAUCUGCUUUUAAUACCCUUGCUGGGGAGAGGAGUGGUAUUUUUUGCUUCUAAAAGCCUUUAUGCCGCUGGUUGUAAUUUGAAGCUUAAAAACAGCAGGCUUAGAAAUAUUUCAAAGCUCUCUAGAGGGCAGAGCCUGCUACUGGAGGCUUAUGGACAGAUUUUUGCUACCAGGUAUGAUAUCAAUCAAGAAUUCCAUUGAUUGCAGUGCUAUUACUCUGGCAUAACCAGGAGCAGAAUGUGACCCUCAGUUUAAUUUCUGAUACGGCUCCUGGAUUUAUUGGAGCUGUGCAUCUCUGCAGGACCUUUCCUGCCUUUGCUGCAGCGGCAGCUUGAUGUAAAUCAGAUUUCCUUGCAGCUGAAAAGAGUACUGAUUAUAUAUGAAGCUCUAACAACAUUUGCUGGAGUUCUAUGUUCCUGGGACCGGCUUAGGCAUUCAACCAGCUUAUCCUUCUGCCUGUGACCCGAAGUAAGAGAAAAGUGUUUUACAGUAGUAAUAAAGAGAUUACGUUAGAUGAAGUUAUUUUCAGUAGCUAUAUCAGGAAGAUUGAGAGUCAAUUAUUCUGGUCAGGUUCAUCUUUAGGACACAAGCAAAGAAGAGGGCUGAGACAUUUAUACUGUACUAGCAAAAAAAGAUUUAAAGAUACUGUGUUUGCACUGACUACUUGGGCCUUAGCACAGGGAAUAACUCUGGAAUAACUCUUGGGGAUGUCAGUGCUCAUAUUUUGGGAGCUGGAGAAUAUUGCUUCCAUCUCUUUUUGGGUGCUUCCUGACUUAUUUGUCUCUUACUCAGCAGAAAAAAAAAAAAGCAGGCUCUGUGGCCUUUGUCACGUGUCACAGUGAAUAUUUGGUAGGGAGAACAGCACUGAGGCUCCUGAUGGUAUUCCUGGGAUGUUUUGUAAACUUCUCUUCUGUUAUAAAAUCUGCUUUCAGAAAACUUUUCAGUGUUCUCUACUGAUCCCACAGAAAUACUGAUGUAUCUCUUAUCUCUCUUUUUUUUUUUUUCUGCAAAGGGAAAUGUUGCUUGAAGAGAUGCUAUAUGCAAUGGCAUGUCAUUCUGCUACCUAUUUUUAAAUAUUCACAUAGACCACAUGUAUUGGAAGGAAAGAUGUCUAUUCUGAGACAGCUGAAUGAGCAAAUUCCUUUUUAAAAGAAACUGAUGAUCACCUGCAGAUGGGGCUGUGCCAUUGGAAGCCAUUGUAAAUCAGAAGCUGUUUCGCUGAACUUCUUACUGGAGCUGUGCAGCACCAUUGCAGAUGAGGAGAUAAUUGUGCCUAAUACACAGUCUUGUUGGCUACCAGCAGCAAACUCAUAUUUCGAGAGUGUGGAGCCUUGCCUGGGGAUUUUUCUUCCCUAUCUUCACCACUGAGUCAUUUAGCUGGCUUUUGGGAUGGAGCUGUUCCUCUGCUCAAGACAAAUUAAAUUGAGGCUCAAUUUUAUCACAGAAUCAUAGGCACUGGAAGGGACCUCUGAACAUCAUCUGCUAAACAUAGUGUAUCUGUUUGGUCACAGGUUAGCUGUACCUCUGCACAUGUGGGAUCAUGGAAGCUGGAGAGGUGGUGGCACCCUGUUGGGCACAGUGACUGAAAAGCGUGAGGGGUUGGCCUGAGUACCAUCUUUCAUGCUUGAAAUGGUCGUCUGGAAAGACCCUCAGGCCUUAUGUCCUUAGUGAGGCAAUUGGUGAAGGCCAGAUUUUGCUCUGGCUGAAUUCAUGCAAGUCUACUGAUUUCAAAAGAGGCAUGUGCAGAACUGCUAUCCACAGCCAUAUCAGAUUAAUAUUAGAUGCACAUUGUCUGUUAUAGUAUAUUCAGAAGUUAAUUUCCAUCUGAUUCACACAUUAGAAAAUGCCAGAUUUUGAAUGUUCUCUGAUGGAUUUAAUAACACUUUAUCAUCAUCAAAUGUCUCUCAAAUGCUAAUCAAGGCAGAAGAAAUAAUAAACAUCUCUUCCAAUUAAUCUAUAUGAAAAAAUCUGUUCAAUCAAUAAAACUGAAAAAGAAUCUAAUAAUGUGGGAUGAAUCAAGAAGAGUGAGGCUUUUCACCUCAAUAUCACUGGCUGAUAUGGUCAUAGAAUCACAGAAUAUCCCUAGCUAGAAAGGACCCAUGAGGUCCAUUGAGUCCAACUCCUGGCUUCACACAGGACCACCCAAAAUCCAAACCUCAUGUCUGAAAGCAAUGUCCAAAUGCUCCUUGAACAUCAACAUCUUGAGGCCAUGCCCACUGCCCUUGGGAGCCUGUUCCAUGCCCCACCACUCUCUGGGGAAGAACCUUUUCCUGCUCCUCCCCUGACACAGCUCCAUGCCAUUCCCUCAGGCCCUGUUGGUGUCACAGAUAGCAGAGCCCAGCGCUGCCCCUCCACUCCCCUCCUGAGGGGCUGCAGCUGCCAUGAG
ensembl:lncRNA